AACGUAGGAGGCAAGCGUUAUCCGGAUUUAUUGGGCGUAAAGCGUGUGCAGGCGGUCUAGCAAGUUGGAUGUGAAAUCUCCCGGCUUAACUGGGAGAGGUCGUUCAAUACUGCUAGACUAGAGAAUGGGAGAGGGAGGUGGAAUUCCGGGUGUAGUGGUGAAAUGCGUAGAUAUCCGGAGGAACACCAGUGGCGAAAGCGGCCUCCUAGACCAUUUCUGACGCUAAGACACGAAAGCUAGGGUAGCAAACGGG
rnacentral:rRNA from 1 species